GAAAUGCGAUAAGUAGUGUGAAUUGCAGAAUUCAGUGAAUCAUCGAAUCUUUGAACGCACCUUGCGCUUUUUGUCUCCAAAAAGCAUGUCUGUUUGAGUGUCGCGAAAUUCUCAAUAUCUCACCCUUGACUUUGACGAGUUCAGGUUUGAUUUUGGAUUGUGGAAGUUGCAGGCUUGAAAGUCUGCUCUUCUCAAAUAUAUUAGCAAGAGUCUGAUUUGGUGCUCUUUUGGUAUAAUAAAAUUCUUGUACCAAUUGAAACCAAACUUUCAUUCGUGGAAUGAGGCUUGUGCUUCCAACAGUCUGUUCAAGACAAAUCUGACAAUUUGACCUCAAAUCAGAUAAGACUACCCGCUGAACUUAA
rnacentral:misc_RNA from 1 species